rnacentral:ncRNA from 2 species
CAAUCCAACUUACUCCGAGCCUGAAUCGCCUAACGGAACCAUCCCAUGGCGGCAGGCCAAUGGGUUUUGCCGGAAACGGCAGAGCCUCCCUUUUGGAAAGGAGGAAUAACGUGGUCAGCA